AUUUUAGAUGAUCGCAAGGCUUUUUUGGUUUACGUUUGACCAUUUCGAAAUUCAAUUUUCGAAUUAAGUGUUGAAAAUCUUUCUCAGCACUUGAUACAUUAAUCCAUGUCAAGUAUCGUUAGACGAUUGAUUUUUUACUCUCAAGUCUCAACGAAAAUAGAGAAAUACAUCAAACUUAGAUUUCAAGUCUAUUACUGAUCUUUGUGUCGGAAGGAUAGUUCCAAUAAACUUUUAUGAAAAGGGUUUGAAGAUGGCUUUCGACAUUCGACAAAUAUAAUUGCAACAACAGAUUCUUUUCUGAUGGUUGAAUUUCUCUCGCUCAAGUGGAAUAACGUGACAAUAUAACGUUAAAAUUGAACAUCUCAAGAAACACCCGAAAUCGUGAUUGUAUCAAAAUGGAACUGCGAAAGCAGAAUUUCAAGAUCGUUAGUAAUUCUGUUUACGCAGGACUCACUCAAGCGACAUCAGGAUCUCACCACUGUGCGAAUAUAACUGAAAUGGUAAAGGAAUAAUGUUAGCGGAAAGUAAACACGAGUAUAAACAGUAAACGUAAACUCUAAAAGCGAAUACAACUCGAUUUCAUACACCGAGUAUUAUACCCCAGCAGCACGUUGUGUGAAAAUAACCAUUGUCCGCAAAAGUGAUCGUGAGUAAAAUUGCACGUCGCUACAAAAAACAAAAUAUAAUUUGUUUUAUUUUUUUUUCUUUUUCGAAAAUGUACAACAUGAUUAUCGUAAAUAGUUUUAUUUCGUAAAUUUUUGAAUUUUACUGACACUAAUGUUAUUUCUUAAUAUUUGGUAUAGAAUUUAAAAAAAUAUUUUCUAUAUAAUUUAUUUAAAAAAAUGAAUGAAAUGAAAAUUUAAUUAAAAAAGGAAAUAAAUUUAAAAAAUGAAAAGUUUAUCAUAUAUUUAGGAAAAAUAUAGCGUCGAUAAAAUAAUUGUAUAUUAUUUACGAGAUUAUAUAUAGAAUUUUCGAUACAUAAUAUUCGUUAAUGUGAAAACCAACGAAGCUCGUGCAUUCAUCGACGUCACUUCACGGAUAAAAUUGCACCUUUAAAAGUGUCCCGGGGAAAAUACAAUUCGUCUUAUUUGACAAUGAUAAAACGCUUCUUUCGUCGCGUCAAGACAUGUGCGCAAAUGAUUCCUUUCAGUUUUUCUGAUGAAAAGCAGUUAAUGGAGAGUUAGUACCCGUUACAAAA